GACGGCAAAUUUCUAACUAGGCUUGCGUCCUACAGUCAGCAUUGCUCUGAUACCACUUUGUAAUACCCGAUUUUAAGGAUAAAACCAGAUAUACACCAUAUGUGAGUCUUAAAAACCAAAUCUCACACAUAGCUACAAAAGGUGUAAUAUCAAAAGACAAUGCAUAACGUACGUAAUAAGUCAGAUAUAAUCUUAGGCAGCAAACAACGGAAAACUCUAAAUUUCAGGUACUAACUUCACUCUACAGGAUCCAACUGACUGGUUGAUCACAAGCCUAAAAUAUCUCCUAAAGUGUGGGGAAAAUAGCAAGAGUAUGUCCAUGUCGAACUACACAAGUAUAACAACUAGAUUGUAUAGAUCCCACA
rnacentral:lncRNA from 1 species